rnacentral:rRNA from 1 species
GACGUAGGUGGCGAACGUUUAUCCGGAAUUAUUGGGCGUAAAGGGUGCGUAGGUGGCCUGACAAGUUAUCAGUGGCAAAUCGAGGCUCAACCUCGUGGAAACUGGUAAUACUGUCCGGCUUGAGUACAGGAGAGGUUAACGGAACUCUAUGUGGAGCGGUAAAAUGCAAAGAUAUAUAAGAAGAACAUCAAUAACGGCGAAGGCAGUUAACUAUUUCGUUGAUACUGCUGAGGCACGAAAG